rnacentral:rRNA from 1 species
UACGUAGGGGGCAAGCGUUGUCCGGAUUUACUGGGCGUAAAGAGCGUGUAGGCGGCCAGGUAGGUCGGUUGUGAAAACUGGAGGCUCAACCUUCAGAGGUCGACCGAAACCAUCUGGCUAGAGUCCGGAAGAGGAGAGUGGAAUUCCUGGUGUAGCGGUGAAAUGCGCAGAUAUCAGGAAGAACACCCGUGGCGAAAGCGGCUCUCUGGGACGGUACUGACGCUGAGACGCGAAAGCGUGGGGAGCGAACAGG